UUUCCUUGGGAAUUUGUUUGGGAGGGGAUGUUAUUGGUGAGACACUUUGGUGGGGCUUCCUCGUGUGUGCCAUGCGGUUGCCUCAGUCCGUUUCCGGAUGAGGCCGAUGACGCAUGUCCUUCUCGCUUCUCCCUUCAAUAUACAAAUAUUGUGUGUGUACUGGUGAAGGAGAAGCUGACGCCCCGUGUCUCAUCUUUUAUUUCUUUUCUUACAGUAAAAAAAGAGCUGAGUUUCAUUGAUUGGUGGUGUGGUCUUUGUAUGUGUGUGAGAGUGACCGGUCCAGACACGUUACAUAUGUUGGCACUGUUUAAUGGUUUGCCGGUGAUGGAGUGGGCUUGGAGUGCCUUUGGAACUCUGAUCUUUGGGAUCUGAAGGGAGUUACAUAGUUUCGAAGAGAUGAAGUUACUGGCUGAACCGGAGUUGAGGAGAGCUGAAAUAAAAAUAGAGUGAUGGAGAAAAGAUAUAACACUUGAGUUUGUAAUGGUGAGUGAAGGGAUAGCUCAGACUGGAUAACACUCACCAGGUGUCGUGGUUGGCGAAUGGAGCAUGAGGUGAUAAUAUGCUCUGAAGCUCCACAGUAAAGAUACAAUCUUCGAUUAAUUCUCCGCUAAUGCUCUGACAGUGAGAGAUGAGUGGAGUCCACCUGCAUGUGUGUAGAUUAUGGAGGAUUGAACUCUGGUCGGCUGGGAGAAACUGGUGGUAAUGAAGGAUUCAAUCCGUUACAAUAUGCUGUAAUCAAUGCCACUUCAUUCCACCCACUCACAGCAGCUUGGGUGCAAAACUUCAAGGCAUUGUCAGUCACAUUCAUGUUUCUUUUUGUAAGUGAUACAAUUUGUCACUUGCCAAGGAAUCAGCAUCAGAAAUAUGAAAAACAUCCUUGAAUGUAGAGAGAAAUAACGAAUAUAACUGUACCAUUGGGGAGUUUUGUUGCCACAACGAAUCUUCCCAUUGGAGAGACUUCCCUCGGAAAUGUGAAAUGAUUAAAGGUAUUUUGGUGGGGUAUUGCUACGGCUGCAUCUCGAACACAGUGAACAUUGAAGCAGAAAUCUGGUGCAAUUCUCCACCGAACCAAAGUAGGGCUGGCCAU